UUAACUCAUAUUUGUAUGGAGCUGGAAAGUAUGUCUACGUUUGCCACUAGGGGCGCUGUUUCAAUUUCAUACAAAUUUGACUUA
rnacentral:pre_miRNA from 1 species